ACGUCGGUCCCCACCCCAAAUCCCCCCUCCUGUGGCUGCUGAGGGGGGAGAGAAGGUUAUGGGGCAGCGGCCGUGGGGCAGCGGCCGUGGGGCAGAUCCAGGCCCCACAAGUCGGUUCCCCACCCCAAAUCCUGUACUCAGCAGUUGGUUAUGGGGCAGCAGCCGUGGGGCAGCAGCCGUGGGGCAGAUCUGAGCCCCACAGGUCAAUCCCCCACCCCAAAUCCCCUCCUCCGCAGCGGCCAUGGGGCAACCACAGCCAUGGGGCAGCAGCCGUGGGGAAGAUACAGCGGCCGUGGGGCAGCAGCCGUGGGGCAGAUCCGCGCCCCACGGGUCCCUCCCUGUGCCCACGGCCGUGCCGAGGCUGCCGUGGGUCGCGGUGGCUCAGAUGUGGGGCAGGGCCGCCAGGCUCUGCCGGCAGUCGAUGGCGCCGCGGUCGGGCCCGGUGAAGGUGAGGGGCAGCCCCCCCAGGAAGCGGCGGCGCUCGGGGGGCUCCAGCCCCAUAAGUGGGCCCAGCUGGGCCGUCGGCAGCGCCGGGCGGUAGCUGGGGAGAGAAGGAGGUCAGGCCGGGGGGCCGGGGGAGCCCGGGGGGCACCCGCGGCCCCCAGGGACGGGGCUCGGCCCCAUAGCGGGGACUCGGCCCCAUGGAGAGGGGCUCGGCCCCAUGGAGAGGGGCUCGGCCCCAUAGCGGGGACUCGGCCCCAUAGCGGGGACUCGGCCCCAUAGCAGGGACUCGGCCCCAUAGCGGGGACCCGGCCCCAUAGCGGGGACCCGGCCCCAUGGAGAAGGGCUCGGCCCCAUAGCGGGGACUCGGCUCCAUGGAGAGGGAGCCGGUCCCACGUUGCCCACAGCAGUGGGGCUCAGCCCCAUGGAGAAAGGCUCAGCCCCACAGAGAAGGGCUCAGCCCCACAGAUGAGAGCUCAGCCCCACAGAUGAGGGCUCAGCCCCACAGACGAGGGCUCAGCACCGUGGCAGGGGGUCCAACCCCACAGCAGGGACUGGGACCCCAUAAAGGAGAGCUCAGCCCCCGAUCAGGGGGUCCAGCCCCAUAGAG
ensembl:lncRNA